AUACUUACUUUUCUUUUUUUUCCCAUUUCAAAUUUCAAACCACCAACUUUAUCUUCUUUCUCUUUUUAUUCCUCUCUUCUCUCCCACCGUGGUUAAAAAUCUCCCACCACCGACAAAAUCUUCGUCGCCACUUCAAAAUCCAUAAACACCAUGACUAAAUCCCUCACCGCCGAGACGAUUUCAGAAGCUGCCGCGACGAAACCCCUCGCACUCUCUAUUUAUAGCUUUUCCACCCCAAGCUCACUUUCUGGACAGGUUUUCUCCACAUCUUCGAUUCGUUAUUCUUUGUACAUUGUUUCUUAUUCGUGUUUCGCAUCUACAAAGUUUUUCUUCAGGUCCCUUAGAUCUAAAUGCCACUUUUGUUUAUCAGAUUUACGUUUUCACAUAUAUUUGCUCUAUAGUAGUGUUAAACCUUCCAUUUCGAGUUAGUUUUAUACCCGUCCACUUUAUGUUACAGAAGUUCUAUUCAAUUUCGGCAUAAAUCAGACCCAAGAAAUAUGUUAAAAUUUUGACUAUUAAUAGUUGUUUACUUUUUGUCAAAUCUCUGUGUACCUAUUUUUCUAUUAAUAGUUGUCUACCUCUCGUUUCGUUUUCAGAAUGGCCAACAUUCCUCUAGCUACAGAUGCAUCCCCUAUUGAACCUCUACGUGUAUCGUUGAAUCAUGUGCUUCUAAAUUUAUUGCGGUCAACUUAGAUGUUAGUUGUUUUCUAUUAAUAGUUGUCUACUUUAUCUUUGUUCAGAUCGCUUAAUAGUAGUCUACUUUAAUAGUUGUCUACGUUAUCUUUGUUUUCUGCUAAAAGUUGUCUUAUAUUUGUCUACUAAUAGUUGUCUACUUUAUUAG
rnacentral:lncRNA from 1 species